UUUUGUCAUCAUAUAUCGAAUGGAGGGAUUACUCGCUUGAAGGAACAUUUAGCUCAAACUCAUAAAGGGGUUGCACCUUGUGUUAGUGUUCCGGAUGAUAUUAAGAAAGAAAUUAGAGAAUCACUUGACAAAAUUAGAGCAUCUAAAAGUAAACAAACUGAAUUGUUACGAGAGAUCGGUGAAGGUCCCCAAAGUAUGAGUACACAAUCAUCAAAAGUUGAAAGUGUAGGGGGAAAUUCAAUUGGAUGUUCUGGAUCUGGUAGUGGUGAAUCAAAAGGUAAAGGUACUCUUCAUGGGUUUGUUAGUUCCGAACCUCGACAAACAACCCUAAAUUCGACAUACAAAAAAGAUUUGUUGGUUGAUGUGAAGCGUAGAAUUGGUCGUUUUAUUUACUCUGCCGCACUUCCGUUUAAUGUUGUGAAUGAUCCUUAUUGGCUGCCUAUGGUUGAGGGCAUUGCGGAAUAUGGAAGAGGGUUCAAGCCUCCUUCAAUGCAUGAGUUAAGAACUUGGAUACUUAAAGUCGAGGUUGAUGGCAUCAACCUAAUAUAUGAGGAGCAUAAAAAGGCAUGGAAAAAUAUGGAUGCACUAUUAUGUCCGAUGGUUGGACGGAUGGAAAGAAUAGAAGUUUGAUCAAUUUUUUAGUAAAUAGUCCCGCCGGCACUUUCUUUUUGAAAUCUAUUGAUGCAUCAGAUUCUAUUAAAAAUGGGGAAUUGAUCUUUAAAUAUCUUAAUGAUGUUGUUGAUGAGGUGGGAGAGGAAAAUGUAAUUCAAAUUGUCACGGAUAAUGCUUCGAAUUGCAUUAAGGCGGGGAAAAAAAUUAUGGAGACUAGACAUAGAAUUUGGUGGACACCUUGUGCGGCGCAUUGCAUUGAUCUAAUGUUGGAGGAUAUUGCAAAGUUGAAGAUUUUUUCUGACACAAUUGAGCAUGCUAAGAUGGUUGUGAAGUUCCUUUAUGGUCAUGGGACUAUACUUUCUUUGAUGAGAAAGUAUACAAACGGUAAAGAAAUUCUCCGUCCCGUUGUUACUCGCUUUGCUAUUUCAUUUCUCACUCUUCAGAGUAUGUAUAAGGUUAAAAGGCCACUUGAACAAAUGUUUGCUUCCGAAGAUUGGGUUAGUUCACCACUAUCUCAAACAACUCAGGGGAAGGUCGUGAAGAGAAUUGUUAUUAAUGAUCCCAACUUUUGGCCACAUGUUGCAUUUUGUGUUAAGAGUGUUGUUCCUCUUGUAAGUGUGUUAAGGGAAGUUGAUUCGGAGGAGAGAUCGGCCAUGGGAUAUAUUUAUGAACUUAUGAAUAAGGCAAAAGAGACAAUAAAAUUUAAUUGUGGGGGAGUUGACAGAAAAUACAAGCCCAGUUAGAAAAAAUUGACUUACGAUGGACUCCACAACUUCAUCAUCCUCUACACGCGGCCGAGUACUAUUUGAACUCGCAAUUGCGUUAUAAAGAAAAAUUUUCUGAUUGUGAUGAAGUUAGAGAUGGAUUGUAUACUUGCAUGGAUAGGAUGUUGUCUUCUGAUGAUCGUCUUAAAGCGGACAUCCAAUUGGACUUGUAUAACAAAGCUGAAGGAGAAUUUGGAACUCCAAUAGCAAAACGAACAAGAAUGUUGCGAACUCCGUCUUGUGGUGGGAACGUUUUGGAAGUAAGACACCCGAGCUUACUACAUUUGCAAUUCGAGUACUUGGUCUCACUUGUAGUGCUUCGGGAUGUGAAAGAAAUUGGAGCACUUUUGAAUCGAUUCAUACAAAAAAGAGAAAUAGGCUUGAACAUGCAAAGUUGAAUGCGUUGGUGUUUGUGAAAUAUAACUUCAAGCUUAGGGAGAGAAGUAUUAGGAGGAGAGACAAGAUUGAUCCCAUUGUAGUUGAUGAAAUUAAUUCAGAUGAUGAAUGGAUAACUGAGAAAGAAGGUCCAGUUCUCCCCGUAACUACUAAAUGGCUUAAAGUUGAUGAAUUAUUUGAAAGUGAUCCUAUUGUGAGUGUGUCAUCUGCUACCUUUGAAAGUAUUUUCGACUCAGAUAAGCGAGUCGAAGAUGUUGAGGAUAUAGUUGAAGUUCCUCCUACG